CGACCAGCAACGGGCAGUUCCGCGCUACCUGCACGAAGCUGUGGUC
rnacentral:RNase_MRP_RNA from 1 species